rnacentral:rRNA from 1 species
UACGGGGGGAGCAAGCGUUGUUCGGAUUUACUGGGCGUAAAGGGUGCGUAGGCGGUCGGGUAAGUCGGAUGUGAAAUCCCAGGGCUCAACCCUGGAACUGCAUUCGAUACUGCCUGGCUAGGGUACUGGAGAGGAGACUGGAAUUUACGGUGUAGCAGUGAAAUGCGUAGAUAUCGUAAGGAAGACCAGUGGCGAAGGCGAGUCUCUGGACAGUUACCGACGCUGAGGCACGAAGGUCAGGGGAGCAAACGGG